rnacentral:rRNA from 1 species
UACGGAGGGUGCAAGCGUUAUUCGGAAUCACUGGGCGUAAAGCGCGCGUAGGCGGGCAUUUAAGUCAGAUGUGAAAUCCCCGAGCUUAACUUGGGAAUUGCAUUUGAAACUGUUUGGCUAGAGUAUUGUAGAGGUGGGUAGAAUUCCAUGUGUAGCGGUGAAAUGCGUAGAGAUGUGGAGGAAUACCGGUGGCGAAGGCGGCUCACUGGACAAAGACUGACGCUGAGGUGCGAAAGUGUGGGGAGCAAACAGG